rnacentral:rRNA from 1 species
GACGAACCGUACGAACGUUAUUCGGAAUUACUGGGCGUAAAGCGUGCGCAGGCGGUUUUGUAAGUCAGAUGUGAAAUCCCCGGGCUUAACCUGGGAACUGCGUUUGAAACUACAAGGCUAGAGUGUAGCAGAGGGGGGUGGAAUUCCACGUGUAGCAGUGAAAUGCGUAGAGAUGUGGAGGAACACCGAUGGCGAAGGCAGCCCCCUGGGUUAACACUGACGCUCAGGCACGAAAGCGUGGGGAGCAAACAGG